UUUUGCUGAAAAACUUCAAAUGAAUAAAAAAGAUUCGGAAAAAAUAGAUUAUCAAAUAAGAAAGAGGUUUGCACAAAAUUCAAACCAAAAGCAACUAAAUAGUUAAAUUUAGGUAUGGAUGAGAAAAGCGACAAGCCUUUAAUUAGUUUUCCAAAUUGUGAUCAAGAACAGUCAAAGCAAGAUGAAGCUAUCGGCUAUCGGCUUAUACUAAUCCAUUAAAUCAAGCAACUGUUAACAUACAACCUCAACCAUAUGUUAUAUAUCCUUCAACAUAUUACAACUUUGCUUGGCUCGCUAGUUUAUUUUGUUGUUUGCCUCUUGGUGCUGUCGCGAUAUACUACUCACGUAAAGCACAGAUCGCUAUCAAUGAAGGAAAUAUUGAAAAUGCAAGAUAUGCUUCAAAAUUAGCAAGAAAUUUGGUUAUAGGGUCAGUUGCAAUUGGUUUAAAUUUCAUCUGGAUUCCUAUGGUAGUAAGGUUCUUAACUAAUGGUAAAAUCUUCUAGUUCUCGUCUUCUGAAACGUACAACUGUUUACUGAAUAAAACUUGGUGUUAAGACGAA
rnacentral:lncRNA from 1 species